UUGACGACUUAACUGUAGAAUUAUGUUGCAUACAUUAUACUUUUCGAAAAAUCAAAGUAUUCAUAGCCAGAUAAUAAAUAAUAUUAUCCCUUGAACUUACAAGACAUAUAAUGUAUGGUAAAAUGACAAACAACAAACACCUAAAAAACACCAAACAUAAUCAGCAGAUCCCUCAUCCCCUCUAUGCUGCUGUAUCAGCAACUUCAGGAGUCGUCUAUUCUUCCUCGUCAGCUGUAUAUUGCACUUUGGUAUUCCCGUUAUUUUUUCUAGCAAGUGAUUCCUUGGCAUAAUCAUACGUGUCAUAGACUGGCUUCAAUACGCUUCCAAGUAUUCCAGUACUUUGGUUCAAUUUCUUUGUUUACAAGGAUAUGGAGGCUUGUCGUCAAACUUAAUUUCUUCUUCAUGUUGCCUUCUCUUUGUUCACUUUAUGGAGUUGUUCUAUAGCCACCCAGGCAGUAGCCUCGGUUCUCUCUUCUUUCAUUGCUUGCCUUGAAUCCACUCUUUCCUCCUUAACACGCAGGAAGGUAAAUUCUCUUAAAUUGGAAGCAAAAUUCCUACAGAAAUAUAGGUUAUUUCCAGUUCAUUGCUACGUCUGAAAGGUCCAAAUCAACUAGAUCGACCACAUGUCAUGUUAAUUUGUCUACCCCUUCCACUUUUUACUUGUUCUACAACCAUAGCAUAGCCUCUUUACACGUCCCAGACGAGACUGCUCGACUAGGAGUCAAAUUUUUGUGUAACAAAAUUCAUGGACCUCAAAAUCUGAAGCCGCCAAUUACAAACAGGGCCCUCUUCAAACUUGCCAAUAUCAGUAUAAAUACUUAAGAACAAUCUGUUGAACCAUAUCAAAGGCCAUUAGAGAUAAUCUUCAAUUAAAAUGCUCAAUUGUUCCGGACCAUGUAUCAGAACUCCUUGAGGCUAAAAAUUGUACAUCAAUGGCCAAAACCAACUCCAUCAGUUACUUGGCUACAAAGCAAAUAUUCCAUGAAGUUCAGUGAUUAAAUCGUGACAUAGUACAAAGUUCAGUGGCCAUUGAAAAAUUUAACUCAAAGAAUUCCUGCUUCCUUCCCGAAUCCCUUUUUUCCCCCUAAAAUCAAAACACACACUCCAACUACGACCUUCUGCAAACUGCAAAAGAUCCCUCUAAAAUAAUAAAUUAUGGUCCCUAAAGUUUCA
rnacentral:lncRNA from 1 species